rnacentral:rRNA from 1 species
GACGAACGCUGGCGGCGUGCUUAACACAUGCAAGUCGAACGGAAAGGCCCUGCUUUUGUGGGGUGCUCGAGUGUCGAACGGGUGAGUAACACGUGAGUAACCUGCCCUUGACUUUGGGAUAACUUCAGGAAACUGGGGCUAAUACCGGAUAGGAGCUCCUGCUGCAUGGUGGGGGUUGGAAAGUUUCGGCGGUUGGGGAUGGACUCGCGGCUUAUCAGCUUGUUGGUGGGGUAGUGGCUUACCAAGGCUUUGACGGGUAGCCGGCCUGAGAGGGUGACCGGCCACAUUGGGACUGAGAUACGGCCCAGACUCCUACGGGAGGCAGCAGUGGGGAAUAUUGCACAAUGGGCGGAAGCCUGAUGCAGCAACGCCGCGUGCGGGAUGACGGCCUUCGGGUUGUAAACCGCUUUCGCCUGUGACGAAGCGUGAGUGACGGUAAUGGGUAAAGAAGCACCGGCUAACUACGUG